rnacentral:rRNA from 1 species
CAGCUCGCGCGGGAAUACGUAGGCGGCAAGCGUUGUCCGGAAUUAUUGGGCGUAAAGGGCUCGCAGGCGGUUUCUUAAGUCUGAUGUGAAAGCCCCCGGCUCAACCGGGGAGGGUCAUUGGAAACUGGGAAACUUGAGUGCAGAAGAGGAGAGUGGAAUUCCACGUGUAGCGGUGAAAUGCGUAGAGAUGUGGAGGAACACCAGUGGCGAAGGCGACUCUCUGGUCUGUAACUGACGCUGAGGAGCGAAAGCGUGGGGAGCGAACAGGAUUAGAUACCCCUGUAGUCCCUGUCUCUUAUAU